rnacentral:rRNA from 1 species
AUGCAACGUAUGGCCACAUCAUACUUCAAGGAGGUCUAUACGAAAGAUCCAACUCUCACUCCGGAGAGUGUUUUGGAGGGUAUCGCAUCUAAAGUAACUCAAGGUAUGAACGAUACCCUAUGUGCUCCCUUCUCGGAGGAGGAGGAGGUAUCAAAUGCCCUCUUUCAAAUCGGCCCGCUUAAAGCGCCAGGAACGGACGGCCUCCCGGUGAGGUUCUUUCAACGAAACUGGGCCACGCUGAAAUCUGAAAUCAUAGCUGCUGUGAUGGAGUUCUUUAAGUCAGGAGAUAUGCCGGAGGGGGUGAACGAUACGGCUAUCGUUCUUAUUCCGAAAAUUCCUUUUCCAAAGGAACUCAAGGAUUUUAGACCGAUAAGCUUGUGUAACUUCAUAUACAAGAUUGUUUCAAAAUGCCUUGUGAACAGACUAAGGCCGUUGCUUGCGGAGCUCAUCUCAGAGAACCAGAGUGCCUUCGUUCCAGGGAGGCUUAUCAUUGACAAUUCUAUUAUUGCUUUUGAGUGCCUUCAUCACAUACAAUCACUGAAACAAAACAGACCCGCGGCGUGUGCCUACAAGCUUGACUUGUCGAAGGCAUAUGACCACGUGGAUUGGGACUUCUUGGAGAAGGCACUAGGGAGAUGGGGCUUUGCCCAACAGUGGACUGCAUGGAUUAUGGAGUGUGUGAAAUCAGUAAAAUAUUCGGUUAAAUUCAAUGGACAAUUGCUUGAGAGUUUCAUACCCUCGAGAGGAUUAAGGCAAGGUGAUCCUUUGUCGCCGUUCUUAUUUCUUUUUGUUGCUGAUGCCCUUUCUGCCCUGUUCUCGAAAUCAGUGAAGGAAGGCUCGCUAAAGGGGAUGGCUAUAUGUCGUGGUGCACCGGUUAUUUCUCACCUGUUAUUUGCAGAUGAUACUAUGUUGCUUUUUGAGGCGUCUGGCGAGCAAGCGAGCAUUGUGAAGGGGUUGUUGAACACUUAUACUUCUGCGACGGGUCAACUUAUUAACCCAGAGAAGUGUUCCAUCCUUUUUUCUGACAACUGCUCGGAUGCGGUGGCGGAUGAAGUCAAAAGCACCCUCGAGGUUACGCAGCAGGUGUUCGAGCCAAAGUACCUUGGCCUUCCGGUGCCAGAGGGAAGAGUGCACAAGGGACAAUUUGAAUCUCUUCAGGAGAGAUUGAGGAAGAGAUUGAUUGAUUGGAGUGAACAGUUUGUCUUGGCGGGGAACAAGGAAAUUUUGAUCAAGGUGGUGGCACAAGCUAUACCUACAUAUGUCAUGAGUGUGUUUCGGCUACCGGCCUCUGUUUGCGAUGACUUAACGCGUAUGAUGAGGCAAUACUGGUGGGGAGUGGAGAAUGGUAAAAGGAAAAUGGCAUGGCUCAGUUGGGAGAAGAUGAUUUUGCCCAAGGAUAUGGGAGGAAUAGGUUUUAGAGAUAUGAGAUCUUUUAAUCAGGCGCUACUCGCGAAGCAAGCCUGGAGAUUGCUUGACAGUCCGGACAGUUUGUGCGCCCGUUUACUCCGGGCCAAAUAUUACCCCAAUGGUAACUUGCUUGAUACCGUCUUUCCUUCAAAUUCGUCGGCUAUGUGGAAAGGCAUCAUGCAUGGACUUGAUCUAUUG